rnacentral:rRNA from 1 species
UUGAAAGGGAAACGAUUGAAGUCAGUCGUACCUGUGGGUAAUCAGCCUUUUGGGUGUGAUUUUGUGGAGUGUGAGGAGUUAAACGCCUUCAUGCCUGCAUAUUCGUGCACUUUGGGUGUAUUUACCCGUGUGGUAAGUUAACAUCAAUUUCGGUGGUCAUAAAAUGGCUGGAGGAAUGUAGCUUCGAUCUUGUAUUGAAGUGUUAUAGCCUUCGGUAGAUGUGAUGAUCGGGAUUGAGGAUUGCAACGGAUACCCUUCGGGGCUACCUGUCUGAUCUCUGAUCGUUGCUCUGGUGCCGAAAGCUUGCUUACGGUUAUCAAAGUCGAUGGUCAAUAGGUUAGAACGUGUAUAAAUUCGUUAAGGAUGUUGACGUA